AUACGUAGGUGGCUAGCGUUAUUCGGAUUUAUUGGGCGUAAAGGGUCCGUAGGGGGUUCGUUAAGUCCGAUGUGAAAUACCGAGGCUCAACCUCGGAAGUGCAUUGGAAACUGGCGGACUAGAGCAUAGGAGAGGAGAGUGGAAUUCCUGGUGUAGCGGUGGAAUGCGUAGAUAUCGGAAGGAACACCAGUGGCGAAGGCGGCUUCCUGGACCAUUACUGACACUGAGGUGCGAAAGCGUGGGGAGCAAACAGGAUUAGAAACCCCGGUAGUCC
rnacentral:rRNA from 1 species